rnacentral:rRNA from 1 species
AUUGAACGCUGGCGGCAGGCCUAACACAUGCAAGUCGAACGGUAACAGGAAGAUGCUUGCUUCUUUGCUGACGAGUGGCGGGCGUGUGAGUAAUGUAUGGGAAACUGCCUGAUGGAGGGGGAUAACUACUGGAAACGGUUGCUACUACCGCAUAACGUCGCAAGACCAAGGAGGGGGACCUUCGAGCCUCUUGCCAUAGGAUGUGCCCAGGUGGGAUUAGCUAGUAGGUGGGGUAACGGCUCACCUAGGCGACGAUCCGUAGCUGGUCUGAGAGGAUGACCAGCCACACUGGAACUGAGACACGGUCCAGACUCCUACGGGAGGCAGCAGUGGGGAAUAUUGCACAAUGGGCGCAAGCCUGAUGCAGCCAUGCCGCGUGUAUGAAGAAGGUCUUCGGGUUGUAAAGUACUUUCAGCGGGGAGGAAGGGAAUAAAGUUAAUACCUUGGCUCAUUGACGUUACCCGCAGAAGAAGCACCGGCUAACUCCGUG